CCCGAUGUAUCAGUUUAUAAUAAGCGAAUCCGGGAAACUAGUAGUGUUCAUAGACGACAAAUUAAUGUCGAAAGACUUCCAUGUUGUUAAUUACUGAGAGGAUAAGAAUUUAUCGAUGAACCGUUGGUGAUGGAAAUGUGAGAUACGAAUUG